rnacentral:rRNA from 1 species
GCUUACGGCCACACCACCCUGAGCGCGCCUGCUCUCGUCUGAUCUCGGAAGCUAAGCAGGGUCGGGCCUGGUUAGUACUUGGAUGGGAGACCGCCUGGGAAUACCAGGUGCCGUAAGCU